ACGGCUGAGUUCGAAAAUAAAUUUGAGUAUUAUGAUAAAAUUUAAACAAAUAAAUAUUAUUUAAUUGGAAUAUUUGAGUACAGUGAAACAUUGUUGAAGCUGUGUUCAACAUUUUUUGCAAAUUUACCAAACACUAUAUAUUUAAUCUAUACAUUUCAUUUAAUUAUCAAACAUUCGAUGUCUAAUCUGUAUGUAUUAUAUCAUGUUCGAAAAUGUUUGCAGACAUGCGCAGUAAGCAGUGAGCUUAUUUCCAGUUUCGUAGGACGUCAGACUCGAGUAAAUAAAUAAACAAGAGAUUGGACCCCAAUUCACAUACAACAUAACAAAUAAAGCCGGUUGCUUUUAAACUUUUUAAAUUAAUAUUAGUAAAUCAUACACAAAAACAAUAAGUCUUAUAAGAGCGACAUGAUAAUAUACUCAGUCAUCUGCUUCUUAUAUAACAUACAUAUGUGUUAAAAUUAUGUGUUAAAGCAUGCCAAAAAAAUAUUAACAGGAAAACCUUCGAUGACUCAAAAAAGAAAAAAGAAAGCAGAGGGAGAGCCUUAAAUAUCCUAACGGCGCCAGCAACUAACCGCAUAGACAAUUAGGGCAGAACCGUCGCGUCUCGUCGUGGAUGAAUCACAUUGGGUAACCGUUUAGUUCAAAUCAAAGAGUGAGAGCAAAGAAGAUAGAGAUUUGGCUAUGAAUAUUGCGCUACAUUAGGCGAAAGGUGCUACAGAGAGAUGAGAGACGAUUCUGAAACCUUUGCACUGAUAUUUCUUCUAAUUGUGAUAUACAGUAGAAUCCGGGUAUAACGACUCCGCUUAUAGUGUCCGAUCGGUUAUUACGACGAAAACUCGAUGGCUUGGUUGGUCCCCAUACAAACUUAUAUGAAAGGGCCUCCGCUUAGAAUGUCUCCGCUUUUAGCGACUAACCGCUUAUACCGACGAAAUUUUUCAGAAUUCAACCGGAUAUUACGACGAAAAAAAAAAAUCAGCGAAAUAAUGCCAAAAAAUUUAAGCAUCAAACGACGCUGUUAGAAAUGUAUGUAUUUAACAGUGAUCGGCACUCUUGCUUGUGUUCGUAGGAGCGACAGGAAGGUACUUAUUAGGGCGGGUCAAUUUGUUCCUGUCCAAAAAAUCCUGAAAAUCGUCCCCCACAAUCGGAAUCUACGAAGAAUUCUAAGAAACUUUCACCAUGAAACCAUGUGUCUAAAAUGAAUUCCUAGUCCGCGCCGUGAAGCUUAAAGAUUGCACUAUGAGCACGCUAUGGCCAUUAUUAGUAUUUUUGGCCGCUCUUUCAUACAAGCGGAUCCACUGUGCAUUGGGCAUUUUCAAACACAAUACCCGCCUAAUUUGAUAAUAGUCGUAAACAGCUGAUUGCAUCCUUAACUGAGAGUUCCCAAUAAUCUUUAAUCGUUCGGCAAACCACUCGGAAUUCUAUGGCAUGGCGAAAAUUUCCAAAAUCACAAGUGAUUUUUGUGGCACCCCUGAUAUAUGUACAUAUUCU